GCGUCACACAUUUUCAGUAUUCGUUGAAACAGUGCGGCGUCUAACGUGAAAUUCUUAGUCCCAAGAUUUUCAGUCCUGUUUCACCACCAAUCAAAUAAAGUUCCCGGGUUACUAAUGGUUGCAACGUUCGUACUUUCCACAAAUAACGACUUUAACUUAGCUAAUCGAUCACUUGUUUCUCACGUCACGUUGAUGCAUAAUUCACGACCAGCUCUCAUAGAAAUUUAAACCAUUGCCCAAAUGACAUUAGUCACGCGUGUCUGUCCUAAACUCUUCUUCAUAUUGUUAAUUCGGGUAGAUUGAUUAUUGAUUUGUAAAACAGUAUCACCAUUUUUAGUCAAAUUGAUAUUGAACAGGCACUUGCAUCGUGAUGAAAUGACUCCUUGUAGUCUAGGGUGUGGUGGGGAUGGCUGCAGUACGUGUAACCUCUCUUACACGCCGACCAUUCAAUAUGGUUUGUCAACAGUACAACGCCCUAUUAAUUCAACAAUUGAUUAAUCUAUUUCCUUGUCAAAGAACCCAGUAUAUCUUGCGCUAUAAAGCGACGAUGGGCUUGAAUGUCCGCGAACGGACAUAAGAACUUGUUUUCCUUCAUUGCUGUUUGAAAGGUUCCAAGACUAUCAAUGGCGAAUGAUCUCUUCCGAUCUCUGUCACCUGUUUUCUGGUUUUUGCGUGUAACGGGUGGAACGCCGUUCUUUCACAGCGAGUCGUCAGCUGGAAUUUUGGGUUUUCGUUGGUGUCAUCCGCAGACUUUCUGGUUUGCUUUCGUCACCCUCGUUCAUCUGAGCUUCAUCUCGGCCCAAGUGUUUGGAGGCCUUUUUACUUUGAAAGACGAUUCCACAACAGUUGAUGAUUCCAACAUCAACCAUUUGAAUAUUCGUUUAACUCACACUAUCUCGCAGGCCCGCUUUCUCAUAGAUACGUUUUUCUUAUCCAAAUUUAUUCACUUUCAUUUGGCCAGUUUUCAAAAUUUCUUUGAGAACUUGAAUUGUGUCGACUUUGUUUCGCCAAUAGCUUUCGCUGAUGUCCAACGAGCUCGCAAAAUAAUUGUCAUUGGAAUCUCUGUUAACCUUUCUUGGCAUGUAACGUUCUUGAUCUACGGAUUCAACAGCCUUUUUCAAGUGCAUCUAAAAGAGCCCAGUUGGAUGCUGAUCGUUCGAAUAUUGAAUAACUUGAUGCACACUCUCGGCCAAUUGCAUUCCAACAUGAUAGUGAUUCAGUUUGCCAGUUUAUGCUACAUGGUUGGUCUUCGUUUUGCUGGUCUCACAAAAACGUUGCAGCAGAUUAUCGUUACGGACGGCACGUUCCGUCAUACGUGUAACGGAUGGACAAAUCUCGCCCCGGAAUCGCCAAAUAAAAAUCCGCCUAACACUCGUACUUCGGCGCAAAAUCAAGUACUUCCUGACGAAUCGUUGUCGGAUGUCGAUCGACCUGUUACAGCCAUGGAAGAAUUACGUUGUCGAAGUUUCUUUCUUUUCAGUCCUUUGACUUUGCGUUUAGUUUUCCUGAAAACGAUUUACUUGACGCUGUGCGGGACAGUGUUGACUCAUUUCAACAAAGCCUUUGGAUUGUCUUUGCUGUUCUAUCUGAUCUCCAAAUUGAUCAGCACUUCGAUAGGAUGUCAUGGAUUUUUGCAUGACUUGAUGCAUCUGUCUGUUGGCUUCUUUUGGGUUUUUUUUAAUGUUCCGGACAUCACGGGCAUUUUUGUCCUAUUUCAAUCUGCUGAUUACGUCCGUGGCGAGGUGAAAAAGUUCUUUAGUUCAGUGGCCAAAAUUUCGACGCAAGAUCUAUCAAUAGUGGAACGCAGUGAAUUACAAACUUUCAUUUUGCAAGUGCAAGGGGAGUCUAUUGAAUUAUCCGUCUGCGGACUCUUUAAAUUGGGCAAGCAACUACUCCCAGCGGUUGCCGGGACGAUAGCUACCUACAUGUUGGUCCUAUUCCAGUUCAAUCAAUAGAGGAACCACUCGCCAUCUACUUUUUCUCGCAGCUAAUCAUCCACUUCAGCAAGUCAGAGGAGACUAUGGUAAGAUUCCAAACUGGUGUGGAACACGAGAAACAACUUCAGUGUGCGGAUUGCUGGCCGUUUGUAAAGAACCCUACGCUUGUAUUCGUAAUAAAAUAAAUCUGUCUAACCUGGGUUGCGCAAAGAAUGGGAGGGGGGGAUCUCAACUGGGUUAUCGUCAAAAGUUAUGGUACUCGUUGGGGAAUGUUCCCUGCGCUGGGCUCUUUCCAAAACGAAGUUAUCUGAAUGGUAAAUCAAUACACUUUUGGCUCGUGAACCA
rnacentral:misc_RNA from 1 species